UUCCAGACUCCUACGGAAGGCAGCAGUGGGGGAUAUUGGACAAUGGGGGGAACCCUGAUCCAGCGACGCCGCGUGAGUGAAGAAGUAUCUCGGUAUGUAAAGCUCUAUCAGCAGGGAAGAAAGAAAUGACGGUACCUGACCAAGAAGCCACGGCUAACUACGUGCCAGCAGCCGCGGUAAUACGUAGGUGGCAAGCGUUAUCCGGAUUUACUGGGUGUAAAGGGCGUGUAGGCGGGGACGCAAGUCAGAUGUGAAAACCACGGGCUCAACCUGUGACCUGCAUUUGAAACUGUGUUUCUUGAGUACUGGAGAGGCAGACGGAAUUCCUAGUGUAGCGGUGAAAUGCGUAGAUAUUAGGAGGAACACCAGUGGCGAAGGCGGUCUGCUGGACAGUAACUGACGUUGAGGCUCGAAAGCGUGGGGAGCAAACAGGAUUAGAUACCCCCGUAU
rnacentral:rRNA from 1 species